rnacentral:rRNA from 1 species
GUGGGGAAUUUUGGACAAUGGGCGCAAGCCUGAUCCAGCAAUGCCGCGUGCAGGAAGAAGGCCUUCGGGUUGUAAACUGCUUUUGUACGGAACGAAACGGUCCUGGUUAAUACCUGGGGCUAAUGACGGUACCGUAAGAAUAAGCACCGGCUAACUACGUGCCAGCAGCCGCGGUAAUACGUAGGGUGCGAGCGUUAAUCGGAAUUACUGGGCGUAAAGCGUGCGCAGGCGGUGCUGUAAGACAGGCGUGAAAUCCCCGGGCUCAACCUGGGAAUUGCGCUUGUGACUGCAGUGCUGGAGUACGGCAGAGGGGGAUGGAAUUCCGCGUGUAGCAGUGAAAUGCGUAGAUAUGCGGAUGAACACCGAUGGCGAAGGCAGUCCCCUGGGCCUGUACUGACGCUCAUGCACGAAAGCGUGGGGAGCAAACAGGAUUAGAAACCCGUGUAGUCC